AACGAACGCUGGCGGCAUGCCUAACACAUGCAAGUCGAACGAGACCUUCGGGUCUAGUGGCGCACGGGUGCGUAACGCGUGGGAACCUGCCCUUAGGUUCGGAAUACCUCCCCGAAAGGGGUGCUAAUACCGGAUAAUGUCUUCGGACCAAAGAUUUAUCGCCUUUGGAUGGGCCCGCGUUGGAUUAGCUAGUUGGUAGGGUAAAAGCCUACCAAGGCGACGAUCCAUAGCUGGUCUGAGAGGAUGAUCAGCCACACUGGGACUGAGACACGGCCCAGACUCCUACGGGAGGCAGCAGUGGGGAAUAUUGGACAAGGGGCGAAAGCCUGAUCCAGCAAUGCCGCGUGAGUGAUGAAGGCCUUAGGGUUGUAAAGCUCUUUUACCCGGGAUGAUAAUGACAGUACCGGGAGAAUAAGCGCCGGCUAACUCCGUG
rnacentral:rRNA from 1 species